GACCCCAUAGGCUAAUGGGAGACCGUGUCGUUUACACCGACAAUGCCCAGGUUCGAUUCCUGGUGGGGUCA
rnacentral:tRNA from 1 species